AGCCACAGCCCAGGAAAGUUAGGCUCCUUGAUUGACUGGGCUUCGGGUGAGCGCAGAGAUAGGUAGCUAUAGGCCUAAUAACAGGUGUGUGAGGGACUGCCUGUCAAACAUAACAACCUGUGUGCUGACUAAGGAAAAAAAUGUUGUGGAGGACUGGUCAUGCUGAGAUUAACUUGAGUAUUUUACAGACUGUUUUGGUGUUACUAUCAGUUUCCUAGCUAUGCUAGCAGUAGCAACAGCGCUAACGCUAAACUAGCGCCUUUUAGCCGACUUUUGACGGGACGAAAACAGGAGACAGUCACAGACAGUAUAGCUAAGGUCGCACCUCUGGCAACGUGGACCAUGACGUCUCUCCGCCGCUAAGGAGGAGCUGUUUCCAAGCAACCAGCCGUUUCCAGCCUCAAGGGACUGUGAGAAACGUAUAACUGCUAGUUGCCACUCGGCAUCAUGAGGAAGCUUCUGCAGGGAGCCAUAACUGCCGCCAAAGGCCUUUUAAAUCCUCGGAUUUGAUGGCUUGAGGAUUCAGCAGGAGGAUUCAAAAAGGAUGAAGAGAAAAUUGCACAUCCUAAAGAAAACAGAGCAUUUGCAUCCCUGUGUCCAGGAUGAAAAAGGGAGAAAAAGAAAUGGAAAUGCAUACUAAUUUAUCUUUGGCUUUUACUGCUCCUUGAUGGUCCAUAACUCACUCUUACCAUGAUUCCCUUUUCCCCUUCAUACUGCCGGAUUCAAAAUCCACUACGCCAUGUUUUAAUGACCUUAUUAUAGGCAAAUCUACACUGUCCAAUAAAAACUUUACACUUUGAACUGUGA